AUAUAGAGCUGCCGAGUCGGGCCGGAGAGUUCAGUCGCUGGCAGACACACAGUGGGUGCAGGCGCGCGCCCUACCACCGUCCUCCACACACCACCACCAUCACCAGCCUCCACCACCUCCACCACACACUGCCCCGCCAGCCACGCCCCGCCAAAACCACCAUCUCCACAACCAGAGCCCUCUCAUGCCCGCCCUCCCUGUCGUUCUUCUGGUCGUCGGUCACUUCGUCGUCCGUUAGAAGUUGAACCAGAGGAGAAAACGAACGCGACGGGCCUUGAAGUCUCUCUCUCCCUCCCCCUCUCCUCUGCCUCCUCCCGCACCGGCCGGCCACGUGCUUGCCUUGCCUUCCUCUCUCUCUUCCACGCGUUUUCCUCCUCCUCCUCCUCCUCUUCUCGUCGCCGCACACAACCAACACCACCUCCACCACCACCUCCACCACCACCUUCUCACCCAUAAGUACAUUCCAUUCUUUCUAUCUUCUUUCUUUCCUUCUUCUUCUCCUUCGCUAAUCCUGUUCUACCGCCAAAAACACACCAAUACACUCAUAACAAGACAAUAUCUAUCUUUCUGUCUGUCUGUUUAUCUGUCUAUCUUUCGUGUUUCCGGCUGAGUUUUAGGACUGAAAGUGACAGUUUAGAUCGCGGCCCUGUAACACUGACUGACUGACUGACUGACUGACUGACAACGCCCCUCGCCCUUGGACUGGCUAACUGAGUGGAGGCUGACUUAUCGUUGCUGCCUCGUCCUCCUUCACGACACAACACGACACGACACGAAACGACGUAGGGAGUGUGUGCGCGGGUGUGUGCGUGUGUGUACGUGUGUGUGUGAGUCAACUUGGCAGAGUUCGUCGGUGUCUGUCAGUGAGUGAGUAACUGUGUGCGUGUGUGUGCGAGUGCGUCUGUGUGUGUGUGUGUGUGUGUGUGUGUGUGUGUGUGUGUAUGGGAGAGGGAGCUGAACGGAUAGUCGGCUGAGGAAAAAGAGAGAGAGAGAGAGAGAGAGAGAGAGAGAGAGAGAGAGAGAGAGAGAGAGAGAGAGAGAGAGAGAGAGAGAGAGAGAGAGAGAGAGAGAGAGAGAGAGAGAGAGAGAGAGAGAGAGAGAAAGAGAGAAAGAAAAAGAGAGAAAGAGAGCUUUUGGCGUGACCUUGGCCGUGGAAAACGAAAGACGCGGCCCCGCCCACCACCACCACCACCACCCAACACCACCACCAACACCACCACGUGCAGCAUCUGUCCCCAUUACCACCAUCACCUCCACCACUGCCUGAACUCACGGAAGGCUUAGGACGCUCUUCAGUGCCUCAGCUUCACGCCCUUAGAAAACGAGCCUCAGGAGUGGCGCUGAGGGGCCGCGGGAGGGUCGAGGCGCCGCGGGGGCUCUCGAGGUCACGGCGGGCUGGUGUGAUGGGCGUGAGGAUGAUGAGCUUGGCGGUGCGGGCUGGGCUGCUGGCGGGGGUCAUCCUGGCGGGCUGCUCUCAAGGCAGCGCAGUGUGCACGGCGGCCGAGUACGAGCGAGGGGAGGUGUGGCAUCCGCGGCUCCAAAACUCAGAGGGCAAUUACUGUGUCACCUGCCGAUGUCUCAAGGAGGGCGAGGGCUACCACUACAACUGCACGAGUGAGCCGUGUCCCGAGGGCUGCACGGGCGGGGCUGACGAAGGGGAGUGCUGUUCCAUUUGCUCAGAAUCGGCGACGAGGAACAAGAACAACAACGGAGGAGAACCCGGAUCUCCCUCUUCCUCCUCUUCCUCAUCCCUACCCUCCUCAUCCCCAUCCUCCUCCUCCUCCUCCUCCUCCACCUCGUACUCCUAUCGCUCGACGGACGGGAACGGCGGCGGCACGGGGGGGCUGGUCGCCGACGCCUCCGCUGCGGGCGUGUUCAGCAGCGGCGGCGGGGUGGCGGGGACGCGCUCGUGUGUGGUGGACGGCAUGAUGUACCAACACGGCGACACCUUCUCGGGAAACUACAGCGGCGGCGAGCACGAGAAAUGCCAACACUGCUUCUGCAACGACGGCGUGACCCAGUGCCGGACGAAGGUGUGCCCGCCGGUGCCCUGCUCAUCACCCAUCUACAUCAGGAGGGACUGCUGCCGCGUGUGUAGAGAUGAUUCCACGGAGCUCGACUGGGACACGAUGGUCUCCUUCAGCGACCCGUCAGCACCUAAGGGAACGGCCGACCACGACUGCAAGAUAGGCGGGCGGUACUUCGUGAACGGCUCCAUCUGGCACCCCGUCAUCGGACCGUUCGGGGAGAUGGACUGCGUACUCUGCAAAUGUCUCAACCGCCGCAUCGACUGCUCACGCCUCAAGUGCCAGAGCCGUGACAAGUUACAGUGCAGCAAGCCGGUCAAGGUCGCUGGCCAAUGCUGUCCGGUGUGCCCCCUCACGCUCGUUACCAGCACAGCUCCUCAGGUCUCAGGCAACACGAUUCGGUGCCUCAGUGAGCGGACGCAGCUGGCGGUGUGGAAGAACGUGGGUGCCGGGAACAACUCUCGCGUCAUGCAUUACGUGUUUGAGCCGGUGGCAGGGCGCGGGGGGACGGCCAGCUCUGUUCUACACCUUCACCGCAUGAUUCUACGCAACGGGAACCUGGAGAAGCUGGACAUCUACGACAUUAGCAGGGACGAGUUCAGAAACCUACGAUCAACCUAUACUUUCUCCCUCUUCGGCGGCACGACCAACAAGCUCAUGAACAAGUUUAGGACCCGGGAGCAGAGGACUGACCGCCGCUGCAAGAGGAAGAAGCGCUGUUCCGUGCGAGUCCCGAGCCUGGACCGCAUAUUGAAGGUCCGGCCCGCCACGAUGAGGGUCCGCUGCGCCAGGGGGGAGCGGGAGAUCUGAAGGGGGAGCAGCAGCAGAAGGAGCAGGGCGCUGAAGAAGUAGGAAGUGGAGUUGAUGAUGAUGGUGAGGGUGACACGAGAGGUGGUGGAGGAUGGUGCGGGUCCUCUCCUCCUCCUCCUCCUCCUUCGCCGCUUCCUCCUCCGCUUCUUCCUUUUCCUCCUCCGCCUCCUCCUCCACUACCAGCGAGGAGGUCCAGUAGGAGGAGAAGGUGAAAAAGGUGGAAGUGGAGGUGGAGGAAAAGGAGGAAGAGCAAGAAUCGAAAGAGAGGAAGAAGGAGGAAGAGGAGGAGGAGGAAGAGGAGGAGGAAGACGAGGCGAAGAAGAAGAAGAAGAAGAAGAAGACAAUGAAGAAAAAGAAGAAAGAAAAAAGGAAUCGAUGAAGCAGCAGCAGCAGAAAGGAAGACGAGAGAGAGAGAGAGAGAGAGAGAGAGAGAGAGAGAGAGAGAGAGAGAAACAGACAGACAGACAUAGACAAGAGUUUUUCGGCCCCAACGAGAGGAGGCUGCCUGCUGUAGUAGUAACCUAGGCUACUUGACUCCCACGAAUCUUUACCGCUAGUCUUGUAGGUAGAGAGAACACGGACCCGGGCCCCCCCCCCCUCCCCUCUCUCCACCCUCCCCCCCUAUCUAGGACACACUACCCCCCACCCUCCCCCACCAACAAGACCUGACACAAGCCAACGUAUGAACUUGUUAGAGGGAGCGUGUGUGUCCUCAGAGCAGAGAUUACAUUGAGGUCAGGUACGCAAAAAAAAAAUGUUCAGUUCAGGUACGCAAAAAAAAAGUUCAGUUCAGGUACGCAAAAAAAAAUGUUCAGUUUAGGUACGCAAAAAAAAAAGUUCAGUUCAGGUACGCAAAAAAAAAUGUUCAGUUCAGGUACGCAAAAAAAAAAUGUUCAGUUCAGGUACGCAAAAAAAAAUGUUGUUCUGUUCAGUUGCGUAGAUCAGAGGAAGAAAACUUUACGCCAGAGAUUACAUUGAGUUCAGGUAUGGAAAAAAAUUAUCCCUUGUCAAAAUCAACCCUCAAUGAUCAUGUUUGAUUUCUUAUAUCUCAGGAAAACUAAGUCAUUCAAGAAAACGCUCGUUCACUACUUAAUCAACCGUUCUCCUGUUGCCAUAUAUAUACUCUCCUAACAUUAAAACCUCCUGGAAGACCAUAGGAAAGAAUGUAGAGGUCAAAACAACUGUGAAAAUAAGACUGGGGGAACUCACGCGGCGACGGGCGGUGGAGUAGCCUAAUCAGUCCCGCGGUAGCCAAAACCCGCGGCUCACCACACCUAAAAUCCAACAGCCUCCCCCAACCCCAGAUGAAGAGCACUAAAAGACAGGUGGAUAUACAUGAACCUCAAUAUUGGAGUUUUUUACACAGAUAACAGCACUUGACUUACUUCCUCAGUCUUGGGAAGUGACUAAUAACUCAUAGUGUUGCCCUUCGACUAGGAAAACUCCAGACAGAGGAACCACUCAGCACCGUUUUGAGAGUUCCCGCUUCUUCCAUAUUUGCACAUAUUCUCAUUCCUGACAUGCGUACUAACUGGUAGGGUGCGUGCAGACUGGCGGACACACACCCUCCCAAACACAUACACGGGAUUUAUCUUUGCACACACGAGUCGGAAGAGGAAGUUUUCUGUGCCACACGCUAACAUAACUUCCGGGUGAACGAAGGAACUCUUCAUCAACAGCGAGGAGUUCCGGUAUUGUCCACUCCGGCGCGUCCGACAAAACACUGAUCGCAAGACGGCAACAGCAGCAGCUCAGUCACGUCAGUUCCUUUAGCCUAUGUUUGCUACGACACGUUUUCUUGGACAUACUUCUGGUCUUAUGAGAAAAAAUGGGAUCAAAUAAACUUUUUAAUCACAAACAUCAUAUAAUCACACUGUACUGCCUGGGGGUUGGGAUGGCAUGUUCCUCCCUUCUCCUUUGUUGUUUGCUUGCAACAAUAAACUAUCAAUCAAUCAACCAAUCAAUCAUAACUGGUAGAUAAUGAUCGAAAGAAUGAUAUCGCAGCGGCCCUAUUCAUGCUGUCACGAUAAACGAGUUGUGAGUAAAGGAAGGAAUGGUUGGUUGGUGGAUGCAAUGAGAGACGAAACGCUUGGUCUUAGUCUUGGCUUGGAAGUAGGUUAGGUUAGGUUAGGGUCGGUUAGGUAUGUGUGUGGACGCAAAUGUCUAACCUAACCUAACCUACUCCAUCCAAGACCGAGAGUUUCGACCAUCGCUGAAUCCAUUUUAGCACAGGUCGUAAGGGAACCAAGCUGCUGCCGUCACGUGAUCACUGCUUGAAGGGAUACAACAAUAGACAAAACGCUUGGUCUUAAAUCUUGGUAUUGGUCUAGGGAAGUAGGUUAGAUUUCUAUGUGGACGCAAAUAUCUAACCUAACUUAACCUGCUCGAUCAUUGUUGCAUCCCUUGUAGCCCUGGUCGUAAAGAAACAAAGCUGCUGCCGUUGGGUGAUCAGUACUUUUGACAGAGACGCUGGAACUGCAAUAUAAGUUCACAAUAUGAGACCCCGUGACUGGAGACCUGACCAGUGAUGUCUCGUGAUGACUGAUGACGAGCGAGUGCGUGGGGGAGUAACUCUUUUUAUGUGUCCAGGGCAUGGAGAGGUCGCCUACCAAACAUGUAACAUAAGAACGACAGAUGCCGCCAAUCAAGUGUCGUCCUGUCGUCCAGCAUAUAUACACAGCGGUGACCUUGACUGAGUUCGCCGUCGUCGUCGUUCUCGCAUUCAACUCUCCCGCGGGAUGCUUGUUCCAGCGCCCGACAACUCGAGUAAAUAAGUUUUUCGUUUUUUCUUCUCUUCUGCCAGUGUCGGUGUCGUCUCGUUUCUCGCUUUAGUUGGCAGACCGCAUUUCUCGUUCUCUCGUGCUGGUGGUUGUUGAGUUUGACGUGGAACUCGGAGUGAUCAUCGUUGUCAGUGUUGUUGUGCAGGUGUGUCAAAACCUGCGUCAUGUAUCCUUUUAGUCUUCUGUUUUUUGCUAAGGGAUGAAGGGUGGAAUGCUCUCCUUGUAAGCCCUGAUAUCCUCACUGAUGGAGACGGUUGUGUGGGGCGAAGAAAGAGGAGGAGGAGGAGGAGGAUAAGCAGGAGGAGGAGGAGGAGUCAGUAUGUACAAUGAUGGGAAGCCAAACAGUGAUGUAGAAGCAUGACUGAAGACAAACAAUGUGUAAAUAUGGAGAAAAAAAAACCGAGAGGUGAAUAGAAGAAAAUGAACAAGACAAUAGGAGGACGUUCGAUAGUUUGGUGCUGUGAUGAAAUUACUAAGAAUCAGAUCAAUUAUUAGAAAAAAAUACGGAAAAUUAUUAAACUCGGACAUAAAAAAGAGACGGACACAAACUUUCAUGUGUUGUGCCAAGAGAAAUAAAAAUAAUCUGAAAAUAACUGAUAGACAAAGGAAAAUUAUGGACCCGAGUGGCAUUAGUAAUAUAUGAAAAAAGAUUAAACAUUUUAAGAAAGAAAAAAAUACAAAAGUAUGUGAAAAUUUUGACCAAGAUACCUGAGAAAAAAUAUUCAUCAAAGCUUAUGAAAAAUAUAUAUUUAUAAAAAGAAAAAUAUAUGUAAAUUGUACAAUAGAGGAACAAAAUACAACCAGAAAAAAUAACGAAGGAAACUAAAAGACAGGUGUGGAAAAAGGUGGAAAGCGGAUGUGAGUGGAUGUGAAAGGAUGUGGGAAGAAUGUGAGUGAUAAAUAAAAUAAAAAAAUAAAUAAAAACUAAAUAUUCUUAAAGUUCAGUGUGUAGCAAGGCCUGUAGAGGCAGGUGUAAGUGUCUUUUCCCUCUGUCUUUUCCUUACUUCGUUAGAGUACGACAAAACAUCAAAUCUGGGACAAGUGGAGUCUUGGCGCCGAUAAGACCCUGGAGCCGGUGCGCGAAGAGGGGAGUGUGAAGGCCGCGUCACGGGCUUGCCGCGGAGGCGGGCGAUAGACCUGCUGCGGCGCCACCCUCAGGAGGAGGCGCCCUCCGCGGCCAGCGGCUCUUCACAAGGAGAAGAGACCGGUGCUAUUCACCCUUCGUGGACCCCCGUCUCCUAUAAAUCGACUUCGGCAACUGGGGCAGCUUUAAAACCGUCCCUGCACCCCGCAUCUACACCCUACAUCCGCCGUCUCGGUGUAGCCCUAACUACGAAUCUGCAGGCCCAGGUUCAUAUUUCGGACUGGACAGUCUGCGUGCAGCCCACCCACCUGUUCAUCCUCUUUCUGGCUGGUCUAUAAACGGAUGUUUGGGCCAACCUGGGCAAGGAAAACUUUGGUAACCCGGAUGUCACACUGACCUGGUCUUCUGGGCUCUUGCCCACCACAGGCGCCGACACAACGCGGAGCUACAGGUUAUGUCCUCAACUGUGCCCAUACCUUAUACUCACACCCUGAAACCACUAGGUUGCUACCGUUCCAGCAAUAUGGCUACCACGUGUGCAGCGGCAACCACGGGUGGGGACAACAACGACCAUCAGCUGCCCCAGCCCCUCCACCUAUACAGACCCCAGCGCCUCUUGCGACCCGCCAGGGCACCGCAAUGAAGUUCCAAGCCCUGGCCUGGGUCCCACCUAUGCAACGAACAAACGUGCCAUCUCUGCCCCGCCCCACACCCGCCGGCUUGGCCUUCACACCUACGGUUACGCGAUUUCGGAAUGAAGAUCGUUCUGGGGUUUGCCAAAUUGCUGGAGGCAGCGCCGUGAGCCACCCCGUUCAUCGCAAGAGUAGUAAAAGGUGUGACAAAACAUCAAGGUAAAGUUGACGCUCUUGGCCGCUGCCUCCACCUUAAAAGCAUCGCUCAAGAAGCCUCCCGGGCUCCCGCCUCCAUGACGCCGCAUCCACCUCCCAGCCACCACUGGUCAGAACCAAGACAAGCCGCUGCAAAGUUCUCCGCCACUGACUCUUCACAAAAAGAGGUCGACUACGACUCCAACGACUCCAUCUCAG